AGUGAACGCUGGCGGUAGGCCUAACACAUGCAAGUCGAACGGCAGCACAGUAAGAGCUUGCUCUUACGGGUGGCGAGUGGCGGACGGGUGAGGAAUACAUCGGAAUCUACUUUUUCGUGGGGUAUAACGUAGGGAAACUUACGCUAAUACCGCAUACGACCUACGGGUGAAAGCAGGGGAUCUUCGGACCUUGCGCGAUUGAAUGAGCCGAUGUCGGAUUAGCUAGUUGGCGGGGUAAAGGCCCACCAAGGCGACGAUCCGUAGCUGGUCUGAGAGGAUGAUCAGCCACACUGGAACUGAGACACGGUCCAGACUCCUAAGGGAGGCAGAAGUGGGGAAUAUUGGACAAUGGGCGCAAGCCUGAUCCAGCCAUACCGCGUGGGUGAAGAAGGCCUUCGGGUUGUAAAGCCCUUUUGUUGGGAAAGAAAAGCAGCAGGUUAAUAACCAGCUGUUCUGACGGUACCCAAAGAAUAAGCACCGGCUAACUUCGUG
rnacentral:rRNA from 1 species